GGGGAAUAUUGGACAAUGGGCGCAAGCCUGAUCCAGCCAUGCCGCGUGAGUGAUGAAGGUCUUAGGAUUGUAAAGCUCUUUCACCGAUGAAGAUAAUGACGGUAGUCGGAGAAGAAGCCCCGGCUAACUUCGUGCCAGCAGCCGCGGUAAUACGAAGGGGGCUAGCGUUGUUCGGAAUUACUGGGCGUAAAGCGCACGUAGGCGGAUAUUUAAGUCAGGGGUGAAAUCCCGCAGCUCAACUGCGGAACUGCCUUUGAUACUGGGUAUCUUGAGUAUGGAAGAGGUUAGUGGAAUUGCGAGUGUAGAGGUGAAAUUCGUAGAUAUUCGCAGGAACACCAGUGGCGAAGGCGGCUGACUGGUCCAUUACUGACGCUGAGGUGCGAAAGCGUGGGGAGCAAAC
rnacentral:rRNA from 1 species